CAGCCGGUGCGAGUCCGGUCCGAGGAGACGCCAGAGUCCUCGGUAGCGAGGCUUCCGGCAUCGGUCGAGAGGCCGGUGUCGAAGUGGAGCGACGAUCACCCCUUGGGGGUGCGCAACCGGCCGGUCCGCAACAUCA
rfam:Streptomyces sp. WAC00263 NODE_5977_length_2097_cov_3.506915, whole genome shotgun sequence.